rnacentral:pre_miRNA from 1 species
UAUAUACUCCCUCCGUUCGGAAUUACUCGUCACAAAAAUGGAUGUAUCUACAACUAAAAUACAUCUAGAUACAUUCAUUUCUUGGACGAGUAAUUCCGAACGGAGGGAGUAUUUC